rnacentral:rRNA from 1 species
GGAGGAAAAGAAACCAACUGGGAUUACCUUAGUAACGGCGAGUGAAGCGGUAAAAGCUCAAAUUUGAAAUCUGGUACUUUCAGUGCCCGAGUUGUAAUUUGUAGAAUUUGUYUUUGAUUUGGUCCUUGUCUAUGUUCCUUGGAACAGGACGUCAUAGAGGGUGAGAAUCCCGUUUGGCGAGGAUACCAUUUCUYUGUAARACUUUUUCGAAGAGUCGAGUUGUUUGGGAAUGCAGCUCAAAGUGGGUGGUAAAUUCCAUCUAAAGCUAAAUAUUGGCGAGAGACCGAUAGCGAACAAGUACAGUGAUGGAAAGAUGAAAAGAACUUUGAAAAGAGAGUGAAAAAGUACGUGAAAUUGUUGAAAGGGAAGGGCAUUUGAUCAGACAUGGUGUUUUUUGCAUGCACUCGCCUCUCGUGGGCUUGGGCCUCUCAAAAAUUUCACUGGGCCAACAUCAGUUUUGGCGGUAGGAUAAAUCAUUAGGAACGUAGCUUCUUCGGGAGURUUAUAGCCUAGUGGAAUACUAUCAGCCGGGACUGAGGACUGCGCUUUAUGCAAGGAUGUUGGCAUAAUGGUUAAAUGCCG